UGUUGGGUACCAUAAAAAGAGAUACCCAAAUCAGAGUAAUAAAAAACGCAAAAAACAUACUAACCACAAUCACCAGGGUACGGGCCCCAGUUCAUUCAACUCGUCCGACCCCCGAGGGCCUCGGGCGCAAGUUCCGACUCGCCCGACCCCUCAGGGCCUCGGGCGCAAGUUCCGACUCGCCCGACCCCUCAGGGCCUCGGAAGCAAGUUCCGACUCGCCCGACCCCUUAGGGCCUCGGACGCAGGUUCCGACUCGCCCGACCCCUCAGGGCCUCGGACGCAAGUUCCGACUCGCCCGAUCCCAUCUGGGCUCAGGUGCCGGACCCCGCUCCACCAGGUCGACAAGACUUCCACCAGUCGGCGCCCGUACCCCCGAAGUGACAAGCGCGAUGACUCCCAUACCGCAGCAGGGCAGGGCGCCGACUGUUCCAACCACCCCGGUCACUGUAGCCUUACCUCUGUCACUAUGCAUCCUUCCCUCUCUCACUGUGGCGUACUGCCUCACAGUAGAAAGGGAAUGGAGGAGGUUAAUUAGCACCACUAUUUGAGGUCAUUUCCCCACUGUUGACAGGAUGUGCAGCAGUGCCGGCGAUCCGACCCCUGCGACCCCUACAGGGCUCGGUAACCCUCUAUAGGAGCAGCCAUACUAUCAACCAUCCCCCAAGGACGAGAUGGACCAGCUUCAACAGGGUCGGGACUGUGGUUUCACCAUUCAACAGAAGAAAUCUACUCAUGUAAAAACCUGUCUUCCCUUGAGGCUAUAAAAGGGGAGCCAGGGUUCACAACUAAGGACAGGUUCAGAAGGUUCAUGCACACGCCCACCGCACUCUUUCACAGAGCAACGAUCACCACUCUGUCCACCACUAAGCCGAGACCUGGGACUUAGCCCUCUCUCGCGAUCAGCUUGUACCCCCUACUACAAGCACCUUCGGUGCAAGGUUAUACAGAAUCCGCGACCACACUGGACGUAGGGCAUUCUUGGCCCGAACCAGUAUAAACCCUCUGUGUCUCACUUGCAUCACCAUCCAAGUUUGGGUAGUCACACAGACUUAUACUUGUUAGUGCCUAGACCACGAGUCUAGACGCCGACAGUUGGCGCGCCAGGUAGGGGCCUUCUGCGUGACGCUCGCCUGUCCCUACUGGGAAGGCUUGGAUGGCAGACGGAUUUCACCCGCUCCGCCGCGGCACCAUCAUGACGUUUGGGAGUUUGGAGUUCAUGUCCCUCGGUUCCGGCUACGACAUGAUCCUCCUCCCGCCACGUGGUGAUGUCGAGCCUAAUCCCGAGCCGAUCCCACCUCAGUCAGUGCGUGGGAGCCGUUCGGGACACCCUACGGGGGGCACACGGCGGGGGCGUCAGAGAUCUAGGAUCUUCGACCCUACCACUGAGGCUAGGACCCGUCCGGCCCUCCCCCCACAUAUUCCUCACCAGAUCGCCCGCUCCUCCGGCCUGACAGGCGCGAGAGGAAGGGCUCGCGGGGCAUUAAGCUCCGCUCCCAGGACCAAUAGAGGAUCAUCGCGGCUACCCGUCCCACCCCGUUCGAAGGGGAAGGGACGGCCCGCGCCCGUCCCCCGCAAGGGGGACAAAGGGGCCUCAACAUCCCGACAUCCUCCACCCAUGGGUAAAGGAAGAACAGCGGCACCCCCCGAGUUACCUUUUGGGCUCAGGAACGCCGCCGCCACCUACGCCUCUUCCGCGAGCACUUCGCUAAGUGCAUACGUGGAACUUCCAGGUCACCACUUGAGGUCUACACUGGACCUCAUCUCCACGCCGCCCGUUUCGUCAUACUCGGAGGAUCCUACCUCAGGCGACGACGAGCGGGCCGGCGCUUCCGGGUGCGGCGACCCGGAAACCUUCAUGCGCUUCUUGGAAGCCAGCAACUACUGUCUCGGCUACUCCGACUCCGACGACGGGAGCUACGACCCGACACGAGAAUGCUUCAACCUGGAAGUCGGGGGCACACCGCAUAACGCCCAGGGGGACGCAGGGCCCUCUAGGCAAGAGAAUGCAACUCCACCUCCCAACCCAACUCCCGGAACCGACCUUGGAGCCCGUGGGGUAGCAUCAGCCCCCGUUGGGGGGAACCGCCCUGACCUCGAACAGCUCGAUGAGCUGGAGGCUAGGCUCGAAGAAGAACGCGCACGCCUCCGCCAACUCCGCGAAGCCCUGGUCCGAGACCCAUCCGGCCGCGGAGACGGGGGUGAGGCUAGACGCCGCGCCCGUGACGUCAACCGCCGUAUUGUCGAGGACCAAGGGGGUGACGCCCCAGUCUUCAGCACGGCCAGCCAGAAUGUGAUAGCCGCUGCACUCCUCCUCAGGGCGAUGCCCGAGCCGUCGACUCCUGAGGGAAGGAGAGUGCGCCAGGGGCUGCGUGGCCUCCUGGAGCAGGCUGUGGUGCAAAACGCGGAGAGUUCUGCCUCACAAUCCCACGGCACGAGACGUCGUGAGGAACGACCACCUCCUAACAAGGCACCAACGGUACAGGGUCCGCCGCCCCCUAACCCACAAGGGGGCAACAGGGCCCCGUCAGUACACGAGCGCGUCGGAGCCGACGCGGACGUGCGGGCGACCCUCGAGGCCAGGCGACGUGACAGGGACGAGGCCGAGUCCCGACGAUACCGACCGCGCCGAGGCGGGAGGUACGACCCCGAUCACGACCGCAGCACGUCACCAGAGCCUCCGAGUCCCCGCGUCUUCAGCGAGGCCAUACGAAGGGCCAAGUUCUCGGCGCGAUUCCGACAGCCCGCCAACCUCACCAAGUACUCAGGGGAAACUAACCCUGAGCUCUGGUUGGCGGAUUAUCGCCUAGCAUGCCAGCUAGGCGGCGCGGACGACGACCUGCUCAUCAUCCGCAACCUCCCACUCUAUCUGGCCGAUACGGCCAGCGCAUGGCUCGAGCACCUCCCUGAGCGCAUGAUCCACGACUGGGCUGACCUGGUCAGGAUCUUUGUCGGGAACUUCCAGGGCACAUACGUGCGCCCUGGGAACUCCUGGGACCUCAGGAGCUGUCGGCAGAAGCCCGAUGAGUCUCUCCGAGACUUCAUCAGGCGAUUCUCCAAACAGUGCACUGAGCUCCCCAACAUCACGGACUCCGAUGUCAUCGGAGCCUUUAUUUCCGGCACCACUUGCAAAGAGCUUGUGCACGAGCUCGGACGCAAGACCCCCACGAGCACUAGCCAGCUACUUGACAUUGCCACCAACUUUGCCUCAGGCGAAGAGGCAGUUGGCGCCAUUUUCUCCGACAGCAUGGCCAAGGGGAAACAGAAGGCCGAGGCCACCGAGGCCUCAGAAUCACGCGACCCCAAGAAGAAGAAGAAGGGACGCAAAGGGAGAUAGGGUCAGCCGGACGACAACUUAGUCGCCGCCGCCGAUCGUAAGAACCCAAAGCGGGCUCCCGCUGGCCCCGGUCUCUUCGACGAGAUGUUGAAGAAACCAUGCCCCUAUCACAGAGGGCCAACCAAGCACACCCUUGAGGAGUGCUGUUGACACUGUUUUUGGGCACGUGUCUAGGAUGGCAGGACAGGAUGGCAGUACUAUGCGGGUUGCUGAUGAGGAUGAUUGCCGAUGAGGGAGAGUUUGAAUAUGAUUAAGUCCGCAGGCAAUAAUAUGGUGCCGAUGGCCGGAUAAAAAGGUCUGCCGAUGACUAUGGCAAGGGGAUUGCCGAUGAUGCUAAGGAGGAGUCCAGAAGCUGCCAGUUGUCAUGUGGAGAAGUUUCGGUCCGUCACGAAGGAUAGUUUUAUUGUUUCCUUAAUUAUUUGCAUCGUUUUGUAUACGGAUUCCGUGUAAUUUGGAAUUCGAAUUCUAAUCGUGUCUGGUUGUAGCUCUUUGAGCAGGGUAUAAAAUAAACCCUAGGACCUUGUAAUAAGGGAAUCAAUCAAGAAAUCAAUCAAACAUACGUUUUUACUCAUAUUCCAGCAUCUACUUUUCGACGACUUCGUCAUACUUUUUCUUUUUAUUACGAGUUCUUAGGAAUUUGUCGACUUAAGCUCGACGUGUUCUUGAGUUCCGCGUGAGUACCUCUUAGCCGUGACAUCCGGGCGCAUCGCUGUUGUCAGGACUAAAGUAUUCGAGUUAUCACCUUUGCCGAUAGUAAGGUCAAAUUGGCUGGCACGCCUUAACGUUUGAAUCGGGUAUUAGCCCUUUGUGUUUGUAGACCCUUUUUGCAUCAACACAUCUUUUGGCACGCCCAGUGGGACUAGAUUCAAGAUCAAGAUCAACAUGUCGAUCUCUGACCUCGAUCAAGACAACGUCAUCCCCGUGACGGAGGCCAACCUCAAGGAUGAGCAGAAGCAGGCUAUUGCCCAAGCCAUGGAAGAGUUCAAGCAGCAAUGCCUGAGGUCUUUCAGCAUAAACAGGAGCGGCGAAGUGGUCCAGAAAGACGCACUGCCGGCACCACGGCAGGUCACCUUUGACGCCAAUCCCGGCAUGCUUCAAGAUAUGGUUGACAAUGCCAUCAAUCGAGCGUUGAUUAACCAAGCUGGUGUAUUGUCUAAUACGGUUUUCAACGCCGUGGCAAGAACUUUCAAGGAAGGACAAAUCCCGCCGGAUUAUGUGGGCCCCUCCCAUCAUCAGCCCACGGCACCCGAGGUCACGGCUCCAUCGGCUGCCUUGACGGAUGCAAGUGCACAGUCUGCCGUCCCUCCAAGUACAUUGGGGACUGCUGGUGCACUAUCUAUGUCGAUGACAACCAACCCACAAAUUUCAUUGGCAUCGGCAAUGUCAGGGUUGACUCUUCCUCCCAACUGGUGGGGUUAUGGUAUGCCUCCAGAGUUGACGCCGGGAACGUCACAAAUAACUGACAUGAGGGGCAAAACUCCUAUGACCUCGGCACUUCCCAAUGCGCCGGUGAACCAGAGUCCUCGGUAUACCACAACUACUACUGCAAGACCUCACACUGGAAAUCCUCAAGAUUCAAUGUUCCAGAUGCCCAACGCAUCGGCAGAGUCAAUGCUGAUGCAACAGAGGUCUAUGGCCCAGUCGGGGUAUGUCAAUUCAACGACGGUACCCAAUUACCAAUCAUCGGCAGCACAUAGGCCGAUGAAUGCUAAUAAUGGAUGGCUUGGACCGCAAGCCUUUCCACAAUCGCCCCAGCAGGGUUAUCAGACUGCAGGGUUCCAGCAAGGGCAAGUCUAUCCCGGGUUCCAAGGUCAGGGGAUUCCCAACCAGCCAAUAAAUUUUGGACAGCAACUCGGAGGACAGCCAAUCGGUGGACAGCAGUUUGGUGGUCCGCAGAUUGGAGGACAGGUGACCAAUACAAUGUUACAUGCAGGUCACGUCCCGAACAGGCACGUGGAGGUUCGCCACCAAAUGCCGGAUCCACAGACGCCUCAUCGGCAAGAUGCCGAUGCGUAUUGGGCCGAUAAGAUUGCUGAAGUAAUGAGGGAACAAUUUGGGAUAAAACCCAAGGUCAAUACUUAUUCUUAUCGGACACCGUAUCCUCCAGCGUAUGAUUUGAUCCCGCUUCCACAUCGGUACAAGGUACCGGAUUUUACAAAGUUUUCCGGACAGGACGACACAUCAACCAUGGAGCAUGUCAACAGGUUCAUUAUUCAAUGUGGAGAGGCUGGUAACAGGGACGAAUUGAGGGUUCGUCUAUUUUCAUCAUCAUUGUCCGGAUCGGCCUUUACUUGGUUCAUAUCAUUACCUCCCAACUCAGUAAUUACUUGGGCCGAUCUAGAGAAGCAGUUCCACAAAUACUUCUUCUCGGGGGUUCAUGAGAAGAAGAUCACCGACUUGGUCAAGUUGAGGCAACGUAAUGAUGAGUCGGUUGAGGGAUUUGUGCAGAGGAUACGAGAGGUCAAGAAUAAAUGCUAUAGCCUGGUUCUGGAUGAUCGGCAGCUAGCCGACUUGGCUUUCCAGGGUUUGUUGCCACAUAUCAGGGAUAAGUAUGCCUCUCACGAGUUCGAAAGUUUAAGUCAUUUGGUGCAGAGGAUAUCUGAUCAAGACAUCAAGCCUUUCGAGCCCAAGAGGGCAUGGAAUAAGAAAGUAUCAUUUGUUGAUGAAGCAACAAGCUCAGAUUCCGAUGAGGAACCAGUAAUCGGUUUGGCAGAGUGGGUAAAAAAUAAGAAGCCAAUGUCUUGUCCUUUUGGGCAGAAGGAACCAGAGAAGUUUGCCUUUGACACCGCCAAGGCCGAUAGGAUAUUCGACUUUCUACUUCAGGAAGGUCAAAUCAAACUGUCACCUAAUCAUGUGAUCCCAUCGGCAGAAGAGUUGAAGAGGAUGAGAUAUUGCAAGUGGCAUAAUGCAACUUCCCAUGACACCAACGAGUGCAAAGUAUUCAGACAGCAGCUGCAAUCGGCUAUAGAGUCAGGGAGAAUCAAGUUUGACAGUUCCAAAGCCCAGAAGCCGAUGAAGAUAGACCAACAUCCUUUCCCGACAAACAUGUUGGAUGCUAAGGGGAAGGCUAGGGUCUUAACAUCAGAGACAGCUGAAAAGAGUGCAUCGGUAGAUCCUCAGCAUCAAGUUACUACUGCCGAUGCAAGAAGUAAAGGCUUGGUCCAGGAAGGGACUAGCUCGGGAAGGCCUCCUCGAUCUGGUAUCGUCAUAACUCAUAGAAGGCCUCGAGAAAAUUGGCAACAACGGGAAGAUCGGUAUCGGCGCCAGCAGGAAGAUUAUCGACGGGAAGAAGAAAGACGCCGACAGGAGUGGAAUCGGCACAGGGAUCAUUGGAAUUGUCCGUUCUUCAUCCAUUGUUGGGAAGAAAAUAUCAAGCUUCCUACUGUCAGAGACUGCCCUGAGUGCAACGGUUAUGAUCGGUACGAUAGAACCGAUCGGCGUUAUCAUGAUGAUGAAAGGCGAUUUAAUGGGCCAAUCAGAGGAAGGACGUCAGUUCAUGAUCGGCUGGGGGGCAGGCUUAGCGCUCACGAUCGACUUAGUGACCGUGGCCAGUAUUUUCCCAGGAACCAAGAAGAGCUCGAGGAAAUGGCUGAUGCGCGGGUUCCCGAUGAAUUCAUAUUUUGCAGGGAUGCUAACACGCAUCGUAUGGAGUCAAGGGAGAACCGACGCCCGACGGCAAGGCAAAGGCCACUUCCUCCAUGGUGCCCUGGAGGAUUGACCAAGACACAGAAGUGGAGAUUGCAACGUGAAAGGCAGGAGGAGCUAAACAAGGGAGAGAACUCUGGAAGUCGGCAGCCGUCAGACAGUAAGAGGGAAGGUCCAUCGGCAGGCGUCAACAUGGUCUUCAUGUUGCCGAUGGAGUUUCUUGCGCCAGCCAGUGACGGUGAGUUGGAAUGUUCUGAUCAGAUAGCUCAAUUGGCUCUGGAUCCGAUGACGGCUAUCUUUGAGAAACCUGCCGAUGACGAGAGGCAGCAUCUUAAAGCUUUGUUCCUCAAAGGAAGGGUUGAUGGGCAGCCAAUGACCAAGAUCCUAGUUGAUGGUGGAGCUGCUAUUAAUAUUAUGCCGUAUGCAGUAUAUCGGAAGCUUGGGAAAGGGGAUCAAGAUUUGACCAAGACCGAUAUGAUGCUCAAAGACUUUGAAGGAAACGUGUCUCCAGUCAAGGGGGCGAUAUGUGCAGAGUUGACCAUCGGCAGCAAAACCUUGCCGACAACUUUUUUCGUGAUUAGCGGGAAAGGUGCUUACAACUUGUUAUUGGGAAGAGAUUGGAUUCAUGCCAAUUGUUGCAUCCCAUCUACAAUGCAUCAGUGCUUGGUUCAGUGGGUAGGUGACAAGAUUGAGAUUGUCCCAGGAGAUUCUUCUUAUGUUAUCGCAUCGGCAGAGGCGGAUACUUACGAAAGGACUAGGUGCAUUUCAGGAGAAGUUUGGGAGAAGGACUUUCUCAAAGUUGCCGAUUAUGAGAUUCCACCGAUCCAAGCAGUCGGUUCUGACGACGGUUUUUAAUGGAUAGAUUCGCCGAUGAUGGAAAAUUAGGCCAGGGGUUCACAUCGGCCGAUGAUUUGGUAGAAGUAGAUAUAUGUAGUGGUGAUAAGCCUAGGCCUACUUUUAUUAGUGCUAAAUUAGAUCCUGAGAGUAAGCAACAAUUGACUAAUUUGUUAAAGGAAUAUAAGGAUUGCUUUGCUUGGGAUUAUACAGAGAUGCCUGGUUUAGACCGAUCAAUUGUUGAACAUCGGUUACCCAUCAAGUCUGGAUUUCGGCCACAUCAGCAACCAGCCCGCCGAUGUAAUCCUAACAUUCUACCUGAUAUUAAGGCCGAGAUCACUAAACUUAUUGAAGCUAAGUUUAUUCGGCAGUGUCGGUAUGCCGAAUGGAUUUCCAAUAUUGUUCCGGUUUACAAAAAGAAUGGGAAGCUUCGGGUGUGCAUUGAUUUCAGGAAUCUCAAUAAAGCUACGCCGAUGGAUGGAUACCCAAUGCCUGUCGCCGAUCUGCUGGUUGAUGCUGCGGCUGGUCAUCGGGUCAUCAGCUUUAUGGAUGGUAAUGCAGGAUACAAUCAAAUAUUCAUGGCAGAAGAGGAUAUUCCAAAAACCGCAUUCAGGUGUCCUGGUCAUGUUGGGUUAUUUGAAUGGAUAGUCAUGACUUUUGGGUUGAAGAAUGCUGGUGCUACUUAUCAAAGGGCUAUGAAUUUUAUAUUUCAUGAGUUCAUCGGCAAGCUCGUGGAAAUUUAUAUUGAUGAUGUGGUGGUUAAGUCCGGGGAUUUCUCAAAGCAUCUUGCCGAUUUACGAAAAGUGCUAGAAUGCACAAGGAAGCAUGGGUUAAAAAUGAAUCCCAACAAGUGUGCAUUUGGUGUAUCGGCAGGGCAGUUUCUUGGUUUCAUGGUACAUCAGAGGGGUAUUGAAAUUAGUCGAAGAUCCAUUGACGCCAUCAAUAAAAUAGUGGCCCCUACCAACAAAACCGAACUCCAAUCCUUGAUCGGCAAGGUAAAUUUUAUCAGGAGAUUUAUAUCGAAUCUGUCUGGUAGGAUUCGUGCUUUCAGUCCUCUUCUUAAGUUGAAAGCCGAUCAAGAGUUUAUUUGGGGGGAAGAACAGCAGUUGGCUCUGGAAGAAAUCAAGAAGUAUCUAGUAAAUCCUCCAGUUCUAGUUCCACCUCAACAAGGGAAGCCCUUCAGAUUGUAUUUAUCUACCGAUGGAUCGGUUGUCGGUUCAGCUUUAGUUCAAGAAUUUGAAGGGAAAGAAAGGGUAAUUUAUUAUUUGAGUAGGAGGUUGAUUGAUGCUGAAACCAGGUAUUCGGCCAUUGAGAAACUAUGCUUAUGCUUAUAUUUUUCAUGUAUCAAGUUGAGACAUUACCUGUUAUCGGCCGAAUGCACUGUUGUUUGCAAAGAUGACGUGGUCCGAUACAUGCUAUCUAUGCCGAUUAUGAGUGGUAGGAUCGGUAAAUGGAUUUUAGCGUUGUCGGAGUUCGAUUUGCGUUACGAAUCGGCUAAGGCAGUCAAAGGACAGAUUAUGGCCGAUUUUGUGACUCAACAUUGCGGUCUAGUGGAAACCUUGGAAACUGUACCCUGGACGCUCUUCUUUGAUGGAUCUACCUGUGACCGGGGGGUAGGAAUCGGCAUUGUAUUAGUUUCCCCUAAGGGGAGGAAGUAUGAGUUUUCCUUGCCGAUUGUUGCCACGUCAACAAAUAAUCAGGCUGAGUAUCAGGCUCUUAUCAAGGGAUUGGAGUUGUUAAGAGAAGUUCGUGCUGAUGCUGUUGAAAUAUUCGGGGAUUCUAUGUUGGUUAUAAAUCAAUUGGCCGGAAGCUAUGAAUGCCGAAGUGAAGUUCUCAUAACUUAUUUCGAGAGAAGUAUGCAACUGUUAAAGGAAUUCAAGGAUUUCCGAUUGGAGCAUGUUCCCCGAUUGCAUAAUGAAGACGCUAAUCGGUUAGCGCAGCAUGCCUCGGGAUAUCAGCCAAUGAUUAGUGCGACAUCAGUAGUCGGUGCCGAUGAUUGGAGGAAAGAGAUUAUUGAUUAUCUAAAAGAUCCAUCCAAAAAAGUUGAAAGACGGGUUCGAUUUCAAGCAACCAAGUAUGUGCUCCUUGAAAAUGAAUUGUAUUAUCGAACUAUCGAUGGAAUUCUUCUCCGAUGCUUGGGUGAUGAUGAAGCUAGAAGUUUAAUGGGGGAAAUCCAUGAAGGAGUGUGUGGAGCACAUCAGUCGGCUUUUAAGAUGAAGUGGAUGAUUCGAAGGAAUGGAUAUUUUUGGCCAACCAUACUUGAAGAUUGUUUUAAAUAUUUCAAGGGAUGUCAAGGUUGUCAAAGGUUUGGCAAUAUCCAGAGAGCACCCGCAUCGGCUAUGAAUCCUAUAAUAAAGCCUUGGCCGUUCCGGGGAUGGGCCAUCGAUCUGAUCGGCCAGAUUUAUCCACCAUCUAGCAAAGGGCAUAAGUUCAUUCUAGUCGCCACUGAUUAUUUCACUAAGUGGGUUGAAGCUAUUCCUUUGAAGAAAGUCACAUCGGCCAAUAUGAUUGAUUUUGUGAAAGAGCAUAUUAUUUACCGAUUCGGGAUUCCCCAGACGAUUACUACCGAUCAGGGCACCAUGUUCACAUCGGGGGAGUUCGAUGAAUUCGCAAUCGGUAUGGGAAUUAAAGUGUUGAAUUCUUCUCCUUAUUAUGCUCAAGCCAAUGGGCAGGCUGAAGCGUCUAACAAAGGAAUUAUCAAGCUUAUUAAACGAAAGAUUGAAGAAAAUCCUAAGCGAUGGCAUACAUUAUUAAAUGAGGCAUUGUGGUCUUAUCGGAUGGCUUGUCAUGGAUCAACCAAGGUAUCACCCUAUCAAUUGGUGUAUGGGCAUGAUGCAGUGUUGCCUUGGGAAGUUAAGGCCGGAUCUAGGCGAUUAUCUUUUCAAGACCAAUUGACUUCCGAUGGUUAUGCUACUUUGAUGACCGAUGAAUUGGACGAUCUAGCAGGGCAUCGGUUAAAAGCUUUAAUGAGUAUAGAAGAAAAUAAGAAGAGAGUUGCUAGAUGGUAUGAUAAGAAAGUGAAGACUAAGGAGUUUGCCGAUGGGGAUUUGGUAUGGAAAUUAAUUUUACCAAUCGGGACUAAAAGCGCGAAGUUUGGAAAGUGGUCUCCUAAUUGGGAAGGUCCUUAUCGGAUAAGUCGAUCGGCUCCUGGUAAUGCCUAUAUUCUAGAAACUCUCGAAGGAGUUGAAUUUCCCAGAGCAUUAAAUGGCAAAUAUUUAAAGAAGUAUUACCCCAGCAUAUGGGUCGAUGCAUAAAAGUUUAAAUGCCGAUAACACUCCUAUCGGCUGGAUUAAAGUGUAUCUGGGGACGGACUUAAUGUUUCAAAAGAUGCCGAUAACAGUCCUAUCGGCUAGACUAAGACAUUAAGAAAGCUGAAAUGCAGAAGAGCAAAGGUGUGUUGCCGAUGAGAGCUUCAGAUGUUCAGCAGCGCUUGGAUUGCUGAUAUGGCGCGCAGCCGGAUCUGAUUGGCUGUUUCUAUCUCUUUGGUAUCAUCAUCGGCAGAACCUUCUAUCGGCUUCAGCUUCUUCUUCAACUGCAACGCUUUGCGACCGUGAGCAUUUCGUUCUUGCUCGAGGUGCUUGAUGGUCUCCGGCAGUUGGCUUUCUUCUUGCUGGGCCUGAGACAGAGCAUCCUCUACUUGCUUGAGUUCGGCCAACAGGGCUUCUCUUUUUGCCGAUAGAUCAGAAACUUUCUGCUUCAGCGCAUCACCUGAGGACUUUAAGGUGCCGAUGUUCUUAUGCUUCUCAUCGGCUAAGAGUUUUUCUUUCAUCAUCUCCUCAGAAAGCUGGAUUUGAGCAGCUCUAUCAGCAAGGCGUCGAGUGGCUUUCUGGUACUGCAGCUGGCAGCUUUCUAGGUAUGCAGCCUGGAAGAGGGUUUCUUCAGCAUCGGCAGGAAUUUGGCCUCUAAGGGUCUUGAACAGGGCCUUAGCUGGGUCAGAAUCGUUGACCAGUUGAGCUGUGUCUUGAUGAAGUAUGGCCGAUAGCUCUUCCAGCUUAGCCCUGGUUUCUGCUGAUAUAGUCUCAACUGCCCGAGAGGAGCUUGAUUCCUCACCUUCUUCUUCAAGGAUAUCAAUGGCGAAGGAGAAUAAGCUGUCGGGAGAAUCUUGUUCCUGAAAGUGAAGAUGAAAUAAGUCAUUUUUAUGGUCAAAGCUUCGGCAGACGAUACUAGUGGGAAAUUGGAUGACUUACUUGCUUCAAGGCAAUUUCUUGCCUUCGACUGGGAGGUGCUGAUGGAGCUACAGGUUGAUCGGCUGAGAUUGCCGAUGGAACGAUAUCAACUGAAAGAAGACAAAAGGAGUUAUGAGACUAAAUAAAAAUAAGUUCAUCGGUAGUGAUAUUGUUAAAGUAUGUUACCUGGAGGAGGAGCAACGAUUGUCUGCAUCGGGAGAACUGCCGAUGGUAUAACUGGACCCACCGGGCCAGUUGGUCGUUCACCCAUGUCAGCUGAUGUAUCUUCUGUCUGAGACCCUGUCUGCUGGGGUUCUUCUAUCCGUGGUGCUUCCUGCAUAGGUGGGGGAGAUGGUGCUUGCUGUGGCUGGGCUUCUGGAGAAGAAGGAGAAGACUCCACCGGAAUUGGAGAUACCGGAGGAGGAGGUGGAGUUGUUACCUUCUGGCGCUUUGUUCCAGUCUUAGCGCCCGUGGUGCCCUUUCUCUUUGGUUGGCUAGACUGGGGGGCAUCGGUGCUCUCAUGCCUGGAUUUCGCCGAUAUGCCGGUUUGCUGCAAUAAUAAACAAGAGUUUAUAAGCGUAAAUGUAGCCGAUAUAAAGAUAGUCGGCAUAAAGGAAAAGAUUUGACAAAUUGCCUUGAAAGCCCGCGCCAGAGUGGGAGCAGCUACCGUUGGUGAUGUCUGAGUUCUUCUGGUAGUGACUUUCCUGAGGCGUACGCCCCGAUGCACGAUGGAAGCUAGAGUGGGGGCAUUGUGGCCGAUUGAGGAAAUCGGGCCUGAUGGAAACAAGUCAAUCGGCCUGCCACUCUUGCUAACCAGUGGAGGAAUACUAUCGACCUGCAAAAGGAAUACAAGGGUAAGAUGCCGAUAGAAGUGACAUUGAGAAAAUGAAACAUCGGUUUGAGUUACUUACAGUGUCAUCGGGAACUUCGUAUUCGGAGUCAAUCAUGCCGCGGUAUGAAAGUGCCGAUCUGCAGAAUAGAUGCUCUUUCCAUUCUGCCCACCACGACUUGUAUGCCUGAGUGAUAAAAGCAGCCGGAACCCAUUCUGACAGAUCUACAUCUGUAUCGGCAUUUGGUGGUAAUUGGGCUACUCGAGUCCACUCAAGAAGGUUGUUGAUAGUUUCUCUGGGUUUUAUCACAUCGGCAUAAGGAAGUGCAAUCGGCAACUGGCCGAAAGCUAAUUGGCGAGCUAAUGCCGAUGGAUUGUAGAAUUCGUAGGUUUGGGGAGAAGUUUUUGUGCUACCAAAGAAAUUCACCGGAAUGGCCCUGGGAGUCACAAUUGCCAUCAUCGCCUCAUUGUCCCUGUCGAGAGCUUCAUCAAAUGGAUUGAAGGUCAGAGGGAGCAUGCUAUCUGGGUCAUCAUAAGCCAACCAUGGUCGUUCAUCUCUGGCCAAACCCUCAUACAGAGUCUCGAAGAAUCGGCCAAUCUGAUCCGAAUUACCCCCUGAACCAGGUAGGACUAUGACGGCUUCGCCAAAGUUCAAGGGGGCACGCGUUGCCGAUUCCUCUUCACCCAGCACGUGAUUUUCGGCUAUAUCUCUUGGGAAGUGCUGUGAGAACAAGUUGAAGUCAAGGCGUUUAUGCAGGUGCAGAUUGAGCCACAUAUUAAUAAACCACCAGGGGCCUCCCAAGUUGCCGAUGGAUUGGCCAAGCAGGAGUUUCUGGGCUACCUGAUGGAGAAGGUGGUAAACAGCGCCAAGCAAGUAUCGGCCAAGAGGAAAUUGGCCACCGUUAGCCAGUCUCUCUGCUGCCGAUAAAUAGACAGAAGUCGGUCCUGCCGAUCGACCACAGAAUACAAACUUGUCCAGCCACAUGUUCAGAAAGGUGGUUUGCUCUUUUAUGAUGACAGGCCCUCUCCCACGGUACUUCUGAAUGUACCCUGACCAACCGCCGAUAGCGCGAGUCUCCACUUUGGCACUGGGGGCGGUAUCGAAAAAGUGGGUGCUAUCGGCAGAAGAUAUAUCUAGACCAGUGAGCAUGGCUACAUCGGCAAGGGUAGGAGAAGCAGGACCGUGGCCAAAAAUGAAAGCAUUAAGGGUGUCUGACCAAAAGAAGGACGCGGCUAUCAGCAGUGAUUCGUUCCUGUGCAUAUCGGCAAUGGACAGCCUAAUGCAUUGGGCUAGCUUCCUUUCGCCCCACUGGACUUCAUAGAAUUAUUGACCCUCAAGAACCAGUCUUUCCACCCUACGGUAGGGCUGGGCCAAGAGCCAAAAGUGUCUUUCCACAGAUCUAGAGAAAAGUUUUCAGCUCUAAAGGGGAUCCUGUUGGUUUCUGCGUUGAUAAGGCUGGUUGGAUCUGAAUCCCCUAGAGGACCGAGACAUUGAAGGUGUGGUUGAUCGGUAGGGAUGACAAUUUUAUUGGACAACUCCUAGUAAUUUUGGGGGAAUAAAAAUAUAAAGAAAAAAGAAAAGGAGAAUAUUCAGUAAGAUGAAUCGCGGAUGAAUAGGAAUAAAAAUACAGAAGAUGAGAUGGAGAUCUGACCUCAGGGACGACGAAGUCAAUGGCCAUCUUGUCGUGAAGAGGGCGUUGGAGGGCACCGGAGUUGAUAGAGAGGGGUGCUUGUCGGAGAUCUUGAGGGUUGUAAAUAGCGCCGCCGCUGGAAACGCAAAGGUGGAUAGUAGAAUGGUGUAAUGGGGGAGGAGUACCCAAGAAGGAACUAUUUAUAAGACAAGAUGGGCAAGGGCAAAUCUGACUUAUCUCUUUGCCGCAUCCGAGAAACCCGAGGGUACUCAGGUGGAUAUGGUAACUGUUCGCACGGUAAUCCAGGGAUUGUGUAGGUGAUUUGACGGGAAGCGGUCAUUAUUUGAAGAUAUUUUACUGUGCGAGAUCUCCUGGUCGGUCCAUUGGCGAUAUUCUAUAACGGUCAUCUUGCCGAUGGGCGGAUAGAGGGGAGGUAAUUGUUUUUGCGAAUAUCCUGGUCAGAGCAUCGGCAGAUCUUUGCAACGGUAUUGUUGCCGAUGUACGAUCAAGAAGGAUGCCCGUUUAGGAAGUUGGGGAUUUCGAGGAAUCUGCGGAGGAUUAGGAUCGGAGUUGUUCAGAUUGAGGUUGUCGGUUCCCAGAUUAGGAGCAUUAAUUGCGGAGAAGGCAUCAUUACUGCAGAGAAUUUCGGAGCAUUAAUAGUUUUAUACUCCGAAACUGGGGGGCAUGUGUUGACACCGUUUUUGGGCACGUGUCUAGGAUGGCAGGACAGGAUGGCAGUACUAUGCGGGUUGCUGAUGAGGAUGAUUGCCGAUGAGGGAGAGUUUGAAUAUGAUUAAGUCCGCAGGCAAUAAUAUGGUGCCGAUGGCCGGAUAAAAAGGUCUGCCGAUGACUAUGGCAAGGGGAUUGCCGAUGAUGCUAAGGAGGAGUCCAGAAGCUGCCAGUUGUCAUGUGGAGAAGUUUCGGUCCGUCACGAAGGAUAGUUUUAUUGUUUCCUUAAUUAUUUGCAUCGUUUUGUAUACGGAUUCCGUGUAAUUUGGAAUUCGAAUUCUAAUCGUGUCUGGUUGUAGCUCUUUGAGCAGGGUAUAAAAUAAACCCUAGGACCUUGUAAUAAGGGAAUCAAUAAAGAAAUCAAUCAAACAUACGUUUUUACUCAUAUUCCAGCAUCUACUUUUCGACGACUUCGUCAUACUUUUUCUUUUUAUUACGAGUUCUUAGGAAUUUGUCGACUUAAGCUCGACGUGUUCUUGAGUUCCGCGUGAGUACCUCUUAGCCGUGACAUUCGGGCGCAUCGUUGUUGUCAGGACUAAAGUAUUCGAGUUAUCACCUUUGCCGAUAGUAAGGUCAAAUCGGCUGGCACGCCUUAACGUUUGAAUCGGGUAUUAGCCCUUUGUGUUUGCAGACCCUUUUUGCAUCAACACAUCUUUUACUCAUAUUCCAGCAUCUACUUUUCGACGACUUCGUCAUACUUUUUCUUUUUAUUACGAGUUCUUAGGAAUUUGUCGACUUAAGCUCGACGUGUUCUUGAGUUUCGCGUGAGUACCUCUUAGCCGUGACAUCCGGGCGCAUCGCUGUUGUCAGGACUAAAGUAUUCGAGUUAUCACCUUUGCCGAUAGUAAGGUCAAAUCGGCUGGCACGCCUUAACGUUUGAAUCGGGUAUUAGCCCUUUGUGUUUGCAGACCCUUUUUGCAUCAACAAGUGCACAGUCCUGCAUCGGUAUUACACCGACCUCAUCUCUAAGGAGGGCACCGAAGAACCCCCCAAGGACGACGACCCUCAAGGGGAGGGUUUUCCCAAAAUCAAGAACUGUCUCUUGAUCUUUGGCGGACGUGCGGCUCGCCUCACUGCGAGUCAGAGGAAGCGAGAACUCCGAGAGGUUUGCGCAGUCACCGCGGCCACGCCCUCGUACCUUAAGUGGUCCGAGAGCGCGAUCACGUUCGACCGACAGGAUCACCAGGAUCGGAUCCCCAACCCCGGGAGCUAUCCUCUGAUCGUUGAUCCAAUCAUCGCCGAAACCCGUCUCACCAAGGUCCUGAUGGACGGAGGCAGCGGCCUCAACAUCCUUUAUGCCGAGACUCUAGCCCUCAUGGGGAUGAGUAAGUCCCUGCUGAGGAACGACACCGCGCCAUUCCACGGAGUGGUGCCGGGACACCGUGCCCACCCCCUCGGACAAAUCGAUCUGUCUGUCUGCUUCAGGACCCCCGACAACUUUAGAUGAGAGGUCCUGACUUUCGACGUGGUCGGGUUCCCAGGGACCUACCACGCGAUCCUGGGACGACCAUGCUACGCCAAGUUCAUGGCCGUCCCCAACUAUACCUACCUCAAGAUCAAGAUGCCAGGGCCAAAGGGCAUCAUCACCGUCAGCACUACCAGCCAGCACGCCUACCAGUGCGACGUCGAGUGCAUUGAGCAGGCCGAGGCUCUGACUGAGUCUCUGGCCAUCCUCACCGGCCUCGGCGACUGUGACCAGGACGUCCCCGACCCCAAGCGGCACGCCACGAGUUUCGAGCCGGCGGAGGAGACCAAGCUAAUCUCCCUCGACCCCGGGACCUCUACAGGCAAGGCGUUGAGGAUUAGCUCCAGCCUCGACCCCAAAUAGGAAGUGGUGCUCGUCGAAUUUCUCCACGCAAACGCCGACGUAUUUGCGUGGAGUCCCUCGGACAUGCCUGGAAUACCGAGGGAAGUCACCGAGCACUCCUUGGACAUCCGAGCCAGCUCCAAGCCCGUGAAGCAAUGCCUGCGCCGAUUCGACGAGGAGAAGCGUCGGGCCAUCGGGGAGGAGAUCCACAAGCUGCUGGCAGCCGGAUUCAUCAAGGAGGUAUUCCAUCCUGAGUGGUUAGCCAACCCGUGCUAGUAAAAAAGAAAAAUGGGAAGUGGAGGAUGUGUGUAGACUAUACUAGUUUAAAUAAAGCAUGUCCAAAGAACCCCUUUCCAUUACCUCAUAUUGAUCAGAUAGUUGACUCUACCGCGGGAUGCAAAAUUUUGUCUUUUCUUGAUGCUUAUUCCGGCUACCACCAAAUCAAGAUCAAGAUGAAAGAGUCCGACCAGCUUGAGACUUCUUUCAUCACCCCUUUUGGAAUGUAUUGCUACGUAACCAUGCCUUUUGGCCUCAAGAACGCGGGGGCUACAUAUCAACGAUGUAUGCUCUAGGUUUUUGGGAACCUUAUAGGAAAAAUAGUUGAGGCUUACGUAGACGACAUUAUCGUCAAGUCCAGGAAAGCAAGCGGCCUGGUUGCCGACCUGGAAGAAACAUUCCAAUGCCUUAGGGCAAAGAGGAUCAGACUCAACCCCGAAAAAUGCGUUUUUGGGGUCCCUCGAGGCAUGCUCCUCGGGUUCAUUGUGUCUGAACGAGGAAUCGAGGCCAAUCCGGAAAAUGUCUCAGCCAUCGCAAACAUGGGCCCAAUCCGCAACCUAAAGGGAGUACAGAGGGUCAUGGGGUGUCUGGCCUCCCUGAGCCGUUUCGUCUCUCGUCUCGGGGAAAAAGGGCUGCCUCUGUGUAGGUUACUUAGGAAAUCCGAGCACUUUUCCUGGACCCCCGAGGCCCAGGAAGCCCUUGACAAGCUCAAGGCUCUACUCACCAACCCUCCCAUUUUGGUGCCCCCCGCCGAGGGGGAACCACUACUUCUCUACGUCGCAGCCACUGAUCAGGUGGCCAGCGCAGCUAUCGUGGUCGAGAGGAAGGAAGAAGGGCACGCCCUGCCGGUCCAAAGACCGGUGUACUUCAUCAGCGAAGUACUAUCCGACACAAAGACCCGAUACCCCCAGAUCCAAAAAUUACUCUACGCAGUAGUUUUGGCCCGACGCAAGCUCCGCCAUUACUUUGAAUCUCACCCACUCUCAGUGGUCUCGUCCUUCCCUCUAGGAGAAGUGAUUCAGAACCGAGAGGCCAAUGGUAGGAUUGCUAAAUGGGCCAUAGAGCUCAUGGGCGAUGGGAUCACCUAUGAGCCUCGGAAAGCCAUAAAGUCCCAGGUCCUGGCGGACUUUGUGGCAGAGUGGACUGGGACUUAGCUCCCACCACCACAAAUCCAGCACGAGUGCUGGACCAUGUACUUCGAUGGGUCUUUGAUGAAAACUGGGGCCAGCGCAGGCCUUGUCUUCAUCUCACCCCUCGGGGUAAGGAUGCGCUACGCAAUCCGGCUCCAUUUUCCCGCUUCAAACAAUGCAGCAGAGUACGAAGCCCUUGUUAACGGUCUCCACAUCGCGAUCAAACUUGGGAUCAAACGGCUCGACGCUCGAGGCGAUUCUAGACUCAUCAUCGACCAAGUCAUGAAAGAGUCUAGCUGCCACGACCCCAAGAUGGAUGCGUACUGCAAAACGGUCCGACGCCUGGAAGAAAAGUUCAACGGCCUCGAACUUAACCACGUGUUAAGGAAAUAUAAUGAGGCUGCCGACGCGCUCGCCAAGAUGGCAUCCGAGCGGGCCAUGGUCCCCCCGGAUGUUUUCGUUAGCGACCUCUACAAGCCUUCCGUCGACUACAAGGACGACGGGGGGUCGGACGAACCCCCAAGCGAACAGAGUUCCGACCCCAAAGACACUGCCGCUCAAGAACAGGAGGCCAUGGACAUCGAGCCAGAGCCACCUACAUCUGACGACUCGCCCAAUUGGCGCUACCCUUUGCUUCAACGCCUGGUCAACGGCACUUUGCCCCCGGACCAGGCUGAAGCAAGGCGCGUGGCUCGUCGCGCCAAGACCUUUGUUCUCCUUGAUGGGGAGAUGUACAAGCGAAGCCCCUCGGGCGUUCUCAUGCGUUGCAUCCCUCGUCAAGAAGGAAUCAAGCUCCUGUAGGACAUACACUCGGGGGCUUGUGGCCAUCACGCCGCGCCUCGGACGUUGGUAGGAAAUGCCUUCCGACAAGGCUUCUACUGGCCCACCGCCGUGGCCGACGCCACAGAGAUCGUCAGGACCUGUGAGGGAUGCCAGUUUUACGCUCGGCAGAUACAUCUACCCGCUCAGGCCCUGCAGACGAUCCCCAUCACCUAGCCUUUCGUUGUCUGGGGCCUCGACCUGGUCGGGCCUCUGCAGAAAGCCCCCGGGGGCUUCACCCACUUGCUUGUCGCAAUCGACAAGUUCUCCAAGUGGAUCGAAAUCUGACCCAUUACAAGGAUCAAGGCCGAACAAGCGGUGUUGUUCUUCACAGAUAUCAUCCAUCGAUUUGGAGUGCCGAACUCCAUAAUCACCGACAACGGCACACAGUUCACCGGGCGAAAGUUCGUGCAAUUCUGCGACAGACACCACAUACGUGUGGACUGGGCGGCAGUGGCUCACCCCAAGACCAACGGUCAAGUGGAACGUGCCAAUGGCAUGAUCCUCCAGGGUCUGAAGCCCAGGAUCUUCAACCGUCUGAACAAGUUUAGGAAAAGUGGCUCAAACAGCUACCUACCGUGGUCUGGAGUCUGAGAACCUCCCGAAGCUGAGCCACGGGCUUCACCCCGUUCUUCAUGGUCUAUGGGUCGGAAGCCGUCCUCCCCACUGACCUGGAGUACGGGUCCCCAAGAGUACAAGCCUACGACGAAAACAGCGGCAAAAUGUUCCAAGAAGACGCACUGGACCAGCUGGAUGAAGCCAGGGACGUAGCCCUCCUACACUCCGCCAAGUACCAGCAGGCCCUCCGCCGAUACCAUGCGCGACGGAUCCGAGGCCGAGCCUUUCAAGUCGGUGACUUGGUGCUAAGGCUCAGACAGAGCAACAAGGGUCGUCACAAGUUCACACCCCCCUGGGAAGGACCCUUCCCCAUCGCCGAAGUUCUCCGACCCGGCACCUACAAGCUCGCCAAUGAAGCUGGAGAGGUCUUUAAAAACGCGUGGAACAUAGAACAGCUACGUCGCUUUUACCCUUAGAACUUUGUAAAAAUUUCUUCGUUUGUUCAUCACCUUGGAGGAAUAAAUGAAAGUUUAAGUUAUAUGGCCCUUUUCUCUUAUCAGGGAGCCUCGGACCUGCCCAGCAGAGUCCGAGCCUCUCUCGGGGGCUACAUGGGGGGAAACCCCCCAACUCCAAAUCUUCUUCCUUUCCUUUUGUGCAGGUUAAAAGAACCCCGACCCAAGGUCUUCCUCCUUUCUCCUAAAAAGAUUUAAGAAACCGAAAACUCACCCCAUAAAUCUUAAGGCAUGAGCUCUAGGAAAGGUCAGCGCUCACGAGCAAAGACCACUCCUACUCACCUUAGAUUCGGGGGACGGAUUCAGACUUCUAAAUAACUACUAAGGAAAAAGGAAAAGGACUUAGGCUUGGGGACUCUGGCUAGCGCAAAACUCUAAGUAGCUCACCCGACCUCGCGCUGCCGAGGUCGGAUCGGCAUAAGGAAAAAGAAAACAAGACACUUAGGAAAAAAGCUUAAAAAGAGCAAUUACACAAAUAUCUACAUUCGACAAUAACAUUGUAUAUAUGAUACAAGGCCCACCGGCCUCAACACCCACACAAAGAAAAAAGAAAACUAAGGGUCCUGCUGCCCUGCCUCCCCAGGUCCUUGAGCCUCAAGGGACGGAAGCUCCACCUCGUCGUCGAAGAAGGCGGCCAUGGCAUCUCCGGGGGCAGCCGCGGCGUCCUCAAGCCUCUGCACCUCCUCCUGGGCCUCAAUCUCAUCAUCCGGGAGAACGUAGCCCUCACAGACUGCCGGUAAGUCAAUGCCGGCAUAGUGAGAGCUCACCACCGCCAGGGCUUUCUUCACCCCAGCGUGGAGUGCCUCCCUCAUCCUCUCCCCGGCCCGGGAGUAAAGGGCCUCGACUCGACUCCGCAGCGACGAUCCCGACGCCGACACCCCAAGCCCCUCACAUGCCGAGGUGACCACGGCCUCAAGAGCCGAACGGUCCGAAGCCUCGGCGUCAAGAGUCUUCCGCAGGGCCUCGGCAGUAGAGGUUGCCUCGACCACCUUCCUCUCUAACUCUGUCGAAAAAUAGAGUAAGAAACAAAAAGUCAGAAAAGACUAACUCGAAAGUGUAAAGGGGUCCAAGGUAAAGGACGCAAGUCUUACCCUCGGCACGCUUCUCGUGCUCCGCCGAGCUCUGAUGCCAGCGGGCCACCUGGCUCAGAGCCCCGGCUAGGUCAGUCUGAGCUUGGUUCAGGGCAAGGUCUUUUUCGGCGAGCAAAGUUUCUAGCCGAGCAACCUCACCCUUGUACCCCUCAGCCGCCACCUUCCGCACCUCAGAUUCCUGGGCAAGGACUCCAAUCCUCUCCUCCAGGGGGGCGACCUUGUCCCGGGCCUCCCGAGCCUCGGUGGCCAGUGCCGAGCACUUCUGCCGAAGCUCGGCAGAAAUCUUGCACUCCUUCACGAGCUCCCCCUCGGCCGCCUCCCUGACAACCCUCUCGUUCUCAUAAGACGCCCAGGCAUCCCUUUCCCGACGGAGAAAAACUGACUUCUCCAGGGAUGUUGCCUUGAGCGCCUACAGAAUCGGAAGUCACACAGGGAGUUAGCAUUGCAAAAUAAGAACAAAAAUACUUUACAACAUGGGUGAAAGCCUUACCUGGGCCAAAUUGAACAUGUCCCGGGCCACGAGCUGAGAAGCUCGGUUGAUGGCCUCAACGCUGGCACGCCCACAUGAUUCCAGACCCUGCCAGAGCUAAUUCUCCGACGGGUCGUCCAGAACGAAUCUGGCUCCCCCCUCGGCAACGCCGAGGUUAGGCCAGAUUACGGGGCUCUUGCCCCAUCCGGCAUCUUCCUCCCUUCCCGCUGCAGGGGCCUUGGGCGCCGCGCUGGACGCCACGAUGGCUCGGCCUUCCUCAGUAUGCGCAGGUCGGACCGCGCCUCCCAGGUUAGCAUCCUCCGGAGGAGGCGCAGCCCCGGGGGCAAGGGCCGUCUCCUCCGGUCCUUGGGGCUUCGGCGCCCCCGUGUCCUGCCCCUGGUGGCGCCCUCCCUCCUCGUAGCCCGGAGGCGGCGGCGACACAGGCCUAGCCGACCCAGGAGUCGACUGAGCCCCCCUCUUCACAGCCUUCAGGGGGGCCAGCGCCACCGAAGGCGCCUUUUCCUUACGGCUGGGGGAACAACACCAAGUUAGAAGAAAGAGAAAAACAAAAAAUCAGCAGAAGGAUCAGAAAUCCUAUAUGUACCUCGCUCGGGGAGCAGACUUCUUAUGGGAGCUCGGAGCUCCCUGGGUGUAACACCCCAGGUGUUUAUCACUUGCUAAGUACUAGGUUUGAGCUCAAACAUGACAAGUUCAAUGGUAAUAAAGAGGUCAAAGUCAAUCUAUGAAAGUAAACUCCAACUUGGGCUUGGUGUAUGCAACCUUGCUUGCAUAUAUGCCUUUUUAAAAGGUAUGCUUUGAUGAUGCUAAUGGAACCUUUUUCAUGUGUCUUAUAUCCAUCCCAAUCUAUGUUGGUCUCUGGAAAAGUUUGGUGAAGUUUGGAAUCAAGAAGUCACAUGAAAUGAUAAGUUAUAUCCUUGUUGGAAUGGCUCUAUUAAGGAAAUAGAAUCAUGGGUCACCAACCAAACCUUGCAAACUUGCUCAUAUGACUCUAGAUGAAUUAUACAACAAAAGUCGUGAAGGGUUCAUGUUGAGCUUAUGUCAAGAAAAUGCUUCAAUUGGCCUAAAAUCCUAUUUGGAGCUUUAUCGGGUUACUACUUUGACCAAAGUGAAAGAUUGACCUCUGUUGCAGUUAUGAGGUUUGACCCUAAAUGAAAGUUGUAGUAUUGCUUCUGUAGAACAAACUUUAUUUAAGGAUCAAGAGCUAGUUUGGUACCUAUCCUAAUCAAAUUGAGCUCUCAAGAAUCAAUUCAGUGCUGAUUUGCUACCUCCAUAUUUUGGCUAAGUCCCUGAAAGUGACAGCAGUGAGUUAGCUCCUUCAUGACAUUUUAUUAUCCAAAUUCAUAUGGUAACUCAAUUAUAUUCCUUAAUAUGAGUUGGAGUACUCUUCUUGAUGAAAGCAAUGGGUCAAGUAUCAUCAAUUUUGGAGUUCAGUUGGAUAUCUAAAACUAGCUCCCAAAACAGCAAAAGGUUAUUUUAUCGCUAAACGGACGUAUACCCGUUGGCAUGUCGCGUUCUCGUGUUUUUGUUAAGCAACUCAAGUUGGUCCAAAAAUGAAAGUUGUGGAUAAUUAUUUGGAGAAGAGCAUGCAAAAAGUUGUAUCAAGUUUGACAUGGUUUGGACCAUUAAUUCUUGGUUUUUCUAAUCACCAUCAAUACGUUGACACUCGUGACUUGGCAUCUAAUUAUCUCCUAAUCUGUAAGCCUAAUGACCAUGACACUUAAACGAAAAAUGUAGAGCAGCACGAGUUUGACAAACUUUGUUUUUGUCCCAUGACUCAAAUCGGCCUAGAAAUGGCCCAAAUCGGCGUCCCACUCUGGCCACACCGUCGCUCGCCAGCUGUUCGACAAAAUGCGUCAGUGGGAGAACGCGUGGACAGCCAUGCAGAGCUCGCGCCUCCUCGUCUUGCCGCGUGCCCUCCGCGUGUCCGCGCCCGCUGCUGAUGUGGGAAGCCCCGAGCAUCCUCUCCACACUCGCCAACACUCCCUCUGCCACUCCCUCGCCUCGCCCGCGCUUGACACAGCGAGAACGCCGCCGCGUCCGCCAUGGCCGACGGUCGAAGCUCGCACCCGCCGCAAUGCUCGCUGCUCCACGCCUUCUCAGCCCAAACCAAGUAGUUCAGUGCCUCCGCCGCGUCGUGCUGCUCAUCUCGCGCGCGCUCAGCCGAGGUGGAAGACCGCCGGAGUGCCACCACCACUGGCUGCCGCCGUCGCCGUCGACAUGUGCACGUGGCCAAGCCGCCACGGGCCCUCUCCCGGCCAUCCAAGGUGACCAGCGGGUGCGCGAUGACCUCCUGGUGCUUCCCCACCCCUCCAUCGGCGCCGACGAGGCUCCGACCGGCCGGAACAGAAAGCUCCGGCGAGAUCCCCUGUUUUCCUCGCGACCAGGGACCUCAAGGAUAAAUUCGACUAGAUCCAGGGGGUUUUAUGCACUGUCAUUGACUCAUAUGAAUAGUGUUUGUGGUCUGUUGCGUGAUUCGUGGAAAGUCCAGGGUCCCCGGUGAAAGAUCUGUUUUUCUUUUCCUUUGUUUUUGCAGAUUUCAUGGAUGAACUUUGUAAAUGCAUAGAAAUUCGUAGAAAAGUCGUAAAAUAGCAAAUGUGGACUUUUUGGAAUCCUUGGGAAAUUCUCUAUGCAGUAGAUCUAUAAUAUUGCAUAGUUUAGUUUGAAGUUUUAGUCGUAAAAAUAGAUUUAUGCAGUUAGAUUUUAAUUGCUUGUUAUAUUUGUCUUUUUCAUAACUGCUGUGUUGUUGCCCAAAUAAAUGUGAAAAUAUUGUGACAUGUUUUUCAUAUGGUAUUUGAUGACUGGUAAAAGUUUCAUGAAUUUAGGAAUGAUAUAUUAAGAGUUAUAAAAAUAACAAAUGCCCUGUGUUGCUUUGCUCAUAUUCUGAGUGGGUCUGCAUGUUUGUAUUGUUUGGCUCAGUUAAGUUGUGAAUCUUGCCUGGAUGAAAAUAUAUGAGUUGUAGUACUUUUCAUAAGCUUUCCAAAAAGAUAAAUAGCACAAUUUUUGGUUAAGCAUAUGUUUAGUUAUAGUGGUUUAAAUUACUGUUCCAGUUUCUGUCUAAACCCAGACAGGGUUGCAUUGUUUGUUAUGUGAGACCUUGUUAAUUGUAUAUUUAGCUCUAGAUGUUUAUAAAAAAGUUGUUCACAAUUAGAUAAGGUUUCUAGAAAGUAUAUAACCAUAAUUUAUGGACAUAUGAAACUCAUGUUAUGGGUGUUUAAUGUAGCAUGACAGAUUCUGUCUGUGUUUUGGACAGAGAUAUCUUCAUGGGAUUAAUUGACCUUGUUAACUCUAGAUUCAUAUUUAGAUGAUAAUAAUAAAGUUGUAGGUAACUUUAUAAGCUUUCCAAAAAUAUAAGAAUCAUGUUGGCUGGAGGUCUACAACUCCAGUUAUGCUUCUUUGAAUUGCCUACCAGUUUUCUGUUUGUAAUUGUACCCCUACUGUUUGGGCAGCAUGAGCAGUUUUGAUUGUGCAAUUAAUUCCAUGAUACAAAUGAUGUUUUCUGUGAAACUUGUAUAUAUAAAAGAUAUAGAUAACUUACUAAUAUAUCUUGUUGUACAGUUUCAUGUCAUUUGGCUAAGUGGUUUGUGAGUUACAGUAGUAUGAAGUUCAUCCCUUGAAAUGUUUGUUUUCUGGAAAUUCCUGGACCAGAUUAUAUGGUCAUGCAUGUUUGAUUUGGUUAACUUGUUAAUCAUAUUGAUAUGAUUAAAGAUGAAUUGUAGAUAAUUUUAUAUUCUUUCCAGAAUGUCCAAUUGCAUAGUUUUUGGAGUUGUGUAACUCCAGUUAUGAUUUAAUUACCGAGUUGCUGCAUGUAUAUCCAGAGUUUGCUGAAAAUGUAUGAAUGCUUGAUUGCUUACUUUGUGUAUACUAAGUGUGACACAUGUCUUUAGUGGUGAUUAAACAAUAUACUUGUGACCUUAUAAAACGUGUGCCAUGCUUGAUAUGUUGCUAUCCAUAUUUGGUUGUGUGAUGCUAGUUAAAUAACGUUAGAUGCAUGUGUCUUGAAUACUUUUAUGUGAUGCAUGUUGUGUUAUUAUUCUUUAUAUUCAUGCACUUGCAUCUUGCAUCUCAUCUAGGUGCGCUAGAUGAAUCACGUGAAGGUCAUGAUGUCGAAUCAAACUCAAAGAUGGUGUUUGGUGGACCUCUCCCAAAGGUGGAAGGACUAAGCAAGUGUUGUGACCUUAGAUGUCACCAAGAUGGAGCAACUAACUGAACUGACUCCGUGUUGAUCCCAGGCAAGCCCCGGAGCAUUAUAAGUCUCCCACUACUUUUGAAUGCAAUUGAGAAUAUAUGUUAUAUAUGUAUUGUUGCAUUAAGUAUAGGAUUUGGGUGAAACCCUUGCUGCAUAUAUCACUCCUUGUCCAGCAAAUAUACCUAUGACCCUAUGUAGAUUCAGGAUCGAAUCUAAAUGCUUAGCUAUGCUUAGAUCGGUAGAAGCCAGGUGAUGUCCUAUCACCUGAGCGAGAUAGGUGGAUACCUGAAAAGGUUGGCUAUAUAUGCUAUCAUGGAAAUAACCAAGUGAUGAGGAUGAAUAAUUGGAGACCGGGCGAGACGAUGAUAGAGAAGUAACAAGACAUGGAGGUCUUGGGUGCCUAUCUAUCCCCGCCUGUGUCGAUUAAGGACCGAUCGUUGACGGCCCUCUUGUCAUGUUGAACGCAUGCCCCACACUUAGCUGGAAGGAUAAGUCGUUCCGACCACGAAGCCUGAACACUAUCCGGGCCGGGAAUCGGCCCGAUGUACGCGCUGUAUUGGUGAUGGUUGAGGAGAACAACGAGGGCGCGGCGCGCAACCUUGGUAUACCUUGGAUACCUCGGUCGCCGGAACGGUCCUCGGGUACGGGCGGUGCCUGUCGAACCCGCGAAUUGGUCCUGGAUAGUGUAAUAUGGUGACCUGUAGCUCACUUUGGCCGGUGAGUGUGGUUUGUGUGGGGAAUAACUCGCCAGCUGGUCAGAAAUCGAUUCGAAUCGCCAUCGCUCCUGGAUAGUGAGCACUUGACUUGAGCUUCGUCAUCGUAGUAAUGUUUAUGGAACACUUGGAUGGUUAUGGUAUGAUGAUGUUGGAAAUGCCACAUCAAAUAUGGGUACUAUUGUUGAAUCUUAAUCAAGUGAUUGCUUUAGUACAGGUGCUAAUCUAGAUGAUAGGUUAAUGAUUAUUAACUUGAGCUAAAUACCUGAAGGAUUACUUAGUUGCAACUUAAGCUUUUUAUGCAAAAAGUGUUGUCAAGCUAGCUCCACCAAUAAAGCCUUGCAUACUCCUUGGUGUCAUAUUAUUUCUGGUUUAUGACGGGUAAGUCUAGCUGAGUACCUUCUCGUACUCAGAGUUUAUUCCCACUUGUUGCAGGUUGUGAUGUAUCAUGGCAACUGCAAGAGUUGGAUGACUCCUACCAUAUUAGAGGAGUAAGAUCAUGGGCAUGAUCCUUCUUAGUUACCUCAUCUAUGUUGCUUUUGUUGGAGUUGACCUGGAUACUGGCAUGUAUUUGAAAUAAGGGCAAUAUUAGUUUCAAAUUACUUUGCUUCCGCUACUUUUCAACUUAAGUUGUAAUAACUAUCUUGAACUCCGAUGUAUAUCAAACUACUUGUGAAAUGGAUGUAACAUGUGACUUGUUAUGUUGAAUCACUACGAUCUUGGCUUGUAAGAUGGUUGGUUUGAAAUCCCUCGUGAUUUCACGGACUACCGGGUUUAUGAGAGUUCGAUUAUGUUAAAGCAACUGCUUUGGCGGGAGUUUUUCAUAGUUGAUCUCUUGUAAAUUGGGCGGUUCUGUUACACUGGGGGUCCCCCGCGGCGCCAGGGGCCGUCGGUCGGACUCCCGCCUCGCCUGCCGACGGCGCAGGGGGCACCAUGGUGACCUCUACCUGCGACACCUCCUCCGGGGCACCGGUUCCCGCCCCGGACGCAGGGGAGGGCUCGGCCAGACUCUCCGGCACUACCGGAUGAGGGGGCUCCUCGGGCUCGGCCCCCGACGCCUUCUCCCCCCUUGAGGACCCACAGGGGCGGAACCCUCACGAGCGGCGCUGUCCUCGUCAUCCACAAUGAUGUGGGGGACGACCUGUCCGCCCCCCGGCACCUGGGUCCCCUUGGGGGCCUCCGACCCACCUCGGGCCUUUGACCCCUCCGGGGCCUCGAUCCCCCCGGCAGGGGGACUGCGUCGUCCUCCUCCAUCAGCUCGUCAAGCCAGUCGGCGUCGCCACCCCCGCCCUCUAUCUCCGAGACCGAAGUCUCGGGAGAGGGGGGCGGGGCGACCCCCGCCUUCUCGGCUUCACGGUGAUUCUUGGUGGAGAUCUCCCGCCGCUGCGCUUUCCGCGCUGCUUUGGCCUUCUUGUCCUCCUUGGCCUUCUUUUACUCCUCGUUCCGGGCCCGAUUCUUGGCCCGGAUCUCCUUGUCCUCGGGAACAGGGGGCGGGGAAUCCUUGACGACCCCCAUCCGCUGCGAAUAGUCAGGGGUCAAGAAAAAGGCAAAAAGGAAAAGAGAAGAAGACGCAAAAAAAAUUCUACACUUACCAGAGAAAUAUAGCCCUUUUCAGGGCGCAUCGGAACCACCCGGGAAUUUUUCAUGCCCGAGUGUGUCGUCUUCUCCACCCGGGCGGUGAUGUCCGAUGCCGAUAUCGGCUCGGCCAGCAUCCUCGUCCCAGCCCAGGGGACGUCCCGAGUCAUCUCGAACAUAUACGCUCGCCGCUGCGCCAGCGGAAGCGACUCCUCUUGUGGAAGGCGAUUGCCACCGUGGCCGCGGUGACUUCGGCAUCUCGCAACUUCUGAAGCAGAUUCCGUCUCGCCCGACCCCGACACUACAAAAUGAGUUUGAAAAAAGCCUUUCGAGGCCCAAAAUCCCCAGGCCAUGGCCACCUACGUUCCAGAGGUUGCGAGACUGACCUGCGACACAGGUUCGAACAGUCGCCUCAGGAUGACUGAGCGAGGGAUGACUGAAGAUGAGCACAAUAGAGGCCAAGGUCCGAGCCCCACAGGGAGUCGGCGCAUCUUUACAAGUCAUAUCCGAGACCCAUGCGGGUGUCACGUGAGUGGGAUCCCAUCGAGGGAGGCAUCGAGCCCUUGGAACCUAACGAACGGUUCCGACAUCCACCGUGACUGUCCUCAGGUACUUUUUGAGAUGUGCCCAUAAGGCCACUAGCCGACCCCUAUCGAAUGGGACUCGGACAUCCACUUGGAUCUACCCGCCUGCAGCUCCCGGGAAGCGUCGUCACUCGCCCAUCGAGGGUAGUACGGCACGACCCACCCCUCCUCCGAGCGAAAGGAAGAAUGAGAGACGUAACUAUAAGACGAGAAAGAACCUGAUCGACCCUUUUGGGGAAAGGGCUCGGGGGCUUCCUCGCACCAUGGGAACAGGCACUACAUGUAAAGAACGUGCAACCUAUCCCUCAAAAAUACUCCAGACUAUAGCUGCAAGGGGUAAAAGCCUUUGAAGGAAUAAUGCCAUUCCUCCAAAAGGCUCGGGGGCUACACCCGGCGGGUGCGCUCACGCGCACCCUCCGGAGAAAAGUAAAAAGCUCCCAGUCAACAAGCAAUCCCUGGGGAAAGAACCUCUAAAGAGGUGACCCCACCCCUUCAGAGGCUCGGGGGCUACUGUUGGAUACCAUAAAAAGGGAUACCCAAAUCAGAGUAAUAAAAAACGCAAAAAACAUACUAACCACAAUCACCAGGGUAUGGGCCCCAGUUCAUUCAACUCGUCCGACCCCCAGGGCCUCGGGCGCAAGUUCCGACUCGCCCGACCCCUCAGGGCCUCGGGCGCAAGUUCCGACUCGCCCGACCCCUCAGGGCCUCAGACGCAAGUUCUGACUCGCCCGAUCCCAUCUGGGCUCAGGUGCCGGACCCCGCUCCACCAGGUCGACAAGACUUCCACCAGUCGGCGCCCGUACCCCUGCGACCCCUACAGGGCUCGGUAACCCUCUACAGGAGCAGCCAUACUAUCAACCAUCCCCCAAGGACGAGAUGGACCAGCUUCAACAGGGUCGGGACUGUGGUUUCACCAUUCAACAGAAGAAAUCUACUCAUGUAAAAACCUGUCUUCCCUUGAGGCUAUAAAAGGGGAGCCAGGGUUCACAACUAAGGACAGGUUCAGAAGGUUCAUGCACACGCCCACCGCACUCUUUCACAGAGCAACGAUCACCACUCUGUCCACCACUAAGCCGAGACCUGGGACUUAGCCCUCUCUCACGACCAGCUUGUACCCCCUACUACAAGCACCUUCGGUGCAAGGUUAUACAGAAUCCGCGACCACACUGGACGUAGGGCAUUCUUGGCCAGAACCAGUAUAAACCCUCUGUGUCUCACUUGCAUCACCAUCCAAGUUUGGGUAGUCACGCAGACUUAUACUUGUUAGUGCCUAGACCACGAGUCUAGACGCCGACAAUUGUGUACCCAGAAUAAUACACACAAAAAUUCAUCUAUAUUAAAAUUAAAGGCUAAUAAAACACUAUCAUUAAAAUCAAGGGCCACGAUUGGAUGUGGGAAGCCAGCCUUCUCACCCUGUACCAUCCAUCUCAAGACUCGCUAGAGACCGACACGAACGAAGCCGCGAGACCAUGCACGAUCGAAUCAGCAAUGAACCCAAAAAAAUAAAAAUAAAAAUAAAAAUCUUCGUUGGAGACCUUCUAGGCUUUUGACGUAACCUGCUGGGCUGCCGACGUUAGAGACCUGCUGGGCGGCCGCCGCGUCCAUCGUUGAUCCUCCGCGGCCAUCGCGUCUAGCUGCGAUCCUCCGCGGCCAUCGCGGCCAGCUGCGUCCGUUCUUCCGAUUGGAGAUCUGCUGGGCUGCCAACGCGUUCAUCGUCGAUCCUCCGCGGCCAUUGCGACCAAGCUGCAUCUGUUGCGCCGAUCUAAAGGCCGAUCAUCCGAAGCAUCAUCAACGACCCAAAAAAACACUGAGGUGCAAGAGGUAGUUGUUACUCCAAUACGACGUCACAUGAGAUAGUAUCAGAAGAAAAAGGUAACCUCUACGUACAU
rnacentral:lncRNA from 1 species